UCUGCAACCCGACUCCGUGAAGCUGGAUUCGCUAGUAAUCGCGCAUCAGCCAUGGCGCGGUGAAUACGUUCCCGGGCCUUGUACACACCGCCCGUCACACCAUGGGAGUUGGGAAUGCCCGAAGUCAGUGACCCAACCGCAAGGAGGGAGCCGCCGAAGGCAGGCUUGAUAACUGGGGUGAAGUCGUAACAAGGUAGC
rnacentral:rRNA from 1 species